rnacentral:rRNA from 1 species
GAUUCUGGCUCAGGAUGAACGCUAGCGGCAGGCUUAACACAUGCAAGUCGAGGGGUAACAGGGAGUAGCAAUACUCUGCUGACGACCGGCGCACGGGUGCGUAACGCGUAUGCAACCUACCCGUAACAGGGGGAUAACGGAGUGAAAAUUCCACUAAUACCCCAUAUUGUCAUUCUUUCGCAUGUUGGGAUGACGAAAGCUUCGGUGGUUACGGAUGGGCAUGCGUGACAUUAGGUAGUUGGUGAGGCAACGGCUCACCAAGCCGACGAUGUCUAGGGGAGCUGAGAGGCUUAUCCCCCGCACUGGUACUGAGACACGGACCAGACUCCUACGGGAGGCAGCAGUGAGGAAUAUUGGUCAAUGGACGGAAGUCUGAACCAGCCAUGCCGCGUGGAGGAAGAAGGUCCUAUGGGUUGUAAACUCCUUUUGUUCGAGAGUAAUAAGUGGGAUGCGUCCCACGAUGAGAGUAUCGGACGAAUAAGCAUCGGCUAACUCCGUGCCAGCCGCGGC